rnacentral:rRNA from 1 species
AGUGAACGCUGGCGGUAGGCCUAACACAUGCAAGUCGAACGGCAGCACAGUAAGAGCUUGCUCUUACGGGUGGCGAGUGGCGGACGUGUGAGGAAUACAUCUGAAUCUACUUUUUCGUGGGGGAUAACGUAGGGAAACUUACGCUAAUACCGCAUACGACCUACGGGUGAAAGCAGGGGAUCUUCGGACCUUGCGCGAUUGAAUGAGCCGAUGUCGGAUUAGCUAGUUGGCGGGGUAAAGGCCCACCAAGGCGACGAUCCGUAGCUGGUCUGAGAGGAUGAUCAGCCACACUGGAACUGAGACACGGUCCAGACUCUUACGGGAGGCAGCAGUGGGGAAUAUUGGACAAUGGGCGCAAGCCUGAUCCAGCCAUACCGCGUGGGUGAAGGAGGCCUUCGGGUUGUAAAGCCCUUUUGUUGGGAAAGAAAAGCAGCAGGUUAAUACCCCGCUGUUCUGACGGUACCUAAAGAAUAAGCACCGGCUAACUUCGUG